rnacentral:rRNA from 1 species
GGAACGUCAGCCGCCGCGCGGUAAUACGUAUGGGGCUAGCGUUGUUCGGAAUUAUUGGGCGUAAAGGGUGUCUAGGCGGGGGAUUAAGUAAGGUGUGAAAGCCAUGGGCUCAACUCAUGAAUUGCAUCUUAAACUGGUUCUCUUGAGUUAGGGAGAGGAGAGCGGAAUUCCAGGUGUAGCGGUGAAAUGCGUAGAUAUCUGGAAGAACACCAGUGGCGAAGGCGGCUCUCUGGCCUAUAACUGACGCUGAAGCACGAAAGCGUGGGGAGCGAACGGGAUUAGAUACCCCGGUAGUCCACGCUGUAAACGUUGUAUACUAGGUGUUAGUGAUUUUAUCAUUAGUGCCGUAGCAAACGCAUUAAGUAUACCGCCUGGGGAGUACGGCCGCAAGGCUUAAACUCAAAGAAAUUGACGGGGGCCCGCACAAGCGGUGGAGCAUGUGGUUUAAUUCGAUGAUACGCGAAGAACCUUACCUGGGCUUGAACUGCAUCUGACAGGUGUAGAGAUACACCCUCCUUCGGGCAGGUGCAGAGGUGCUGCAUGGUUGUCGUCAGCUCGUGUCGUGAGAUGUUGGGUUAAGUCCCGCAACGAGCGCAACCCUUACCUCUUGUUGUUAUCAGGUAAUGCUGAGCACUCUAGAGGAACUGCCGGUGAUAAACCGGAGGAAGGUGGGGAUGACGUCAAAUCAUCACGGCCCUUAUGUCCAGGGCUACACACGUGCUACAAUGGCCGGUACAAAGAGCUGCAAAGCCGCGAGGUCAAGCUAAUCUCAAAAAACCGGUCUCAGUUCAGAUUGCAGUCUGCAACUCGACUGCAUGAAGCUGGAAUCGCUAGUAAUCGUGGAUCAGCACGCCACGGUGAAUACGUUCCCGGGCCUUGCACACACCGCCCGUCAAAUGAUGCGGAAUUUUUCCUACACACCUGUGCGGGAUUUCCACCCGCAAUGGGGAGCUCAGUACAAACUGCUCUGAUGCCGCUAAAUAAACAAGCCCGACCCGCCAAACACUGAAGACCUGACGGAGUUGGUUCCGCUCGCUACAAAAGAGCUCCCGCCCUAUGUUGAGAUAAUGCUUUCCUCUCACCCGGACAAAAGC